GACGAACGCUGGCGGCGUGCCUAACACAUGCAAGUCGAGCGGAGUCAGUAAGAGGAAGUUUUCGGAUGGAAUCUUAUUGAUUUAGCGGCGGACGGGUGAGUAACGCGUGAGCGACCAACCUUGCACAGGGGGAUAACGGACCGAAAGGUUCACUAAUACCGCAUGAGACCACGGUGUUGCAUGACACAGGGGUCAAAGGAGCAAUCCGGUGCAAGACGGGCUCGCGUCCGAUUAGGUAGUUGGAGGGGUAACGGCCCACCAAGCCUAUGAUCGGUAGCCGACCUGAGAGGGUGAUCGGCCACAUUGAAACUGAGAUACGGUCCAAACUCCUACGGGAGGCAGCAGUGGGGAAUAUUGGACAAUGGGGGAAACCCUGACCCAGCAACGCCGCGUGAAGGAAGAAGGUUUUCGGAUUGUAAACUUCUGUCCUUGGUGAAGAGAAGAAGACGGUAGCCAAGGAGGAAGCCCCGGCUAACUACGUGCCAGCCGCCGCAGUAA
rnacentral:rRNA from 1 species